GUUUUUACAACUAAAAUUACUCAAGAAAUGGAAUAGUCAAAAAGCCUCAAAAAGCGGUUAAGUCACAUAGUUUUGCGCAAUUAUUCAAUCAUUUAUCCUGUUUUUAAAUUUGAAAUCUCAGCCUUGGGUCGACCAUUAGACGUUUUGCUCUGUGGAAAGUUUCUCUUGACAAGGCGGAAAUCUUCAAGCCUUGAGGCUUCUUGUUGAUUUCCGCCGGCGAGGGCGGAAUCUUUAAAAUCGCCUGGGAAGAUAGAGAGAUAGAUAGAUAGAGACAGCCCAGAGCCUGGACGCCUAAAACUUAUCCAGGCUAAAGCCUAAAUUCUCGUUUUGACACAUUUAGUUCUGAGAACGAGGCUAUAUUGCGUUUUAAACUAAUAGAAAUAUAUAUACAAAGGGUAAUUCCCUCCCACCCAGGGAAUUUAUUUAGGUAGCCAGAAAGUUUCAUGUUGGUGAAAAGCAGUUUGCUAAAUUGAUUUAUUGCUAACUAGCUAUAUAUUUGAUACUGUGAAUACGAUAUAAAUACAUAAAUAUAUAUAUAUAUAUACAAGACACCCAUCGUACUUCUGUUGUUGGUGUGCAGAAAUUGUCGUCGACUGCUUCGGGAACCAAUCCCAAAUUGUUCUAUGAUACAAAACAUGUUGGCACGAUUUCAUUGAACUAAUUUUGACCCAACAAUUCACAAUUUCAAGCGUCAUUCAAACGUGAUUUGCAUGUGAAGAUUUGUUGACAGAAGCGGUUAAAAAAAAAGAUGGAACAAUGAUGAAACAGAAGAGCUUGCUGAUUUGCUCGAUUACCACUUUUUGUUGGAUGCGUUUGAAAUAAGAAUAUAUUCAUUAAAUACAGAUUAUGAAUUGAAAUAAAAAAUACUUGUAAUAGCCUAAUUUGUAAAGUAUUUUUAUAUAAUUCAGAUUGACUUUCAUGGUAAAAAAUCUCACGAUUAGGGAUUGGUCUAGGCUGAAAUGUCUAAAAAUGUGUAAAUUGUUAUCUUUUUCGUUUAACAUAUAUAUAACUGUACAAUUUUUUUUCAUUUGCAAUCAGUUGCUAGUCUAACAACAACAACAACAAUAAUGAAUAUUUAAAGUGUUUCUAGCCCAGAAAAUCACAAAAACCAAUUGUGAGUGGAUUAUUUCCAUUGGGGUCCACUGAGUCUGAGUGAAGCUAGCUUUCUCAGAUUUACGUUUAGUUUUAGCAGGCUUCUAGAAAACUAAUCAAGACCAACGUUAGAGGUAGCUAAGGUUACAGAUCAGAUGAAUUAUUAUUUUCCUUUUAAAAUUUAAUUUUGAAGUAUAAUAUCGUUGGUUCUUUGUUUA